rfam:Lupinus angustifolius cultivar Tanjil contig_1837, whole genome shotgun sequence.
AGGUGCAUUCAUACCAGCACUAAUGCAUCAGAUCCCAUCAAAACUCUACAGUUAAGCGUGCUUGGGUGAGAGUAGUACUAGGAUUGGUGACCUCUAGGGAAAUCCUCGUGUUUCACCUC